GAUUACCUGUAGCAAAGAAAACCAAAUUUAAUACGACUGGGAGGAGGACCGCUCCACCGCCCUUCACCACUUCGGAGGAGCUGGCUCUCGCCAAUAACGAAGUUCGGCCGAUGAUGGUAGGAGUGGAAGGGGGGUGUCCUCUGACCCCACUGCCUCGACUUCCAAGGCCUUUGUAAUGAUUAAAGGUACAGACAUUAGUUUGGAGGAGCCGCCGACAAUCAAUCUCCAAUCAGAGGAGACUGUCGGCCUGUGACUCCAGGGCGACUAUGGCGGUGAUUUUUCUGAACAAUUCUCACCGCUAUAGUAUGAAUUUGUAGAAUAAAAAAUGGCCUAAGGCCAAAUUGUGUCACAGACAUAGCGGUUAUGUGUAUGCGGCUGAUGGUGGAUGCUGCUGAAGGUGAAUGCUGCUGAUGGUGGAUGCUGAUGAUGGUGGAUGCUGAUGGCUGCUGCUGCAGGUCGCUGCUGCUUGAGGCGAUGGCUGCUUGAGCUGGCUGGGGCCGGAUAACACUGCUGCUGCAGGUCACUGCUGCUUGAGGCGAUGGCUGCUUGAGCUGGCUGGUGGUGGCGAAAGAUGGUGGUGUCGCCUUCUGCUGCUAGUGGUGGCGGCUUGUGCUGGCGACGGCUGUUGGUGGUGGUGGU